GGGAGCGGGGCCGCGCCGAGGCUGCGGGGGCGGGGGGCGAGCGGGGCCCCCGGGACCGCCGCGUCCGCCGGGCCGGAGCGCCCCGCGGGCAGCGCCCAGCUCGGUUCGGCCCGGCCGGGGGCAUCGAGGGGCGGCACCGCCCGGGCCCCGCCGCUCCCCGAGGCGAGAUAGCCCUGGUGGGGUCCUGGGGAUCUCGGGGUCCCCCCGUUGUCCCCAGGAUUCCCCAGCCGUGGGGUCAGCGCCUCCGGCCCUGAGUGGCCUGUGGCCGGUGUGUGGAGGGAGCAGCAUCCCGAGAUCCCAUGGAUGCUUGGAUGGAUGGACCCAUCCCACAUUUCCAGGCUGGCUCUCAGCCUAUUCCACGCCUUUGGAGAGUCCCAGGCUGCUGGAGCCUGGACCUCCAGUCUCGUGGUAAGGAAGGGGAGACAGCCCUGCUGCCCCUCAGCUGAACAUCCCAGGCGGGUUACAACCCAGCAUCGCUCGGAGCAGACAGAAAACAGCCGUCCCUGCACCGCACGCUCUGGCUGACAGCUCGGCACGGGAAGCGAUCUCCUCUUACAAAUUACAGGAGCCCGUUUACACAGGGCAAACACUCCCCGUUCCACGGAGAGCAGAGCGAGACCGCCAGCAGCAGCAGCUCAGAGCCUCCUCUUCCCUCCUGGCUCUCCAAACCUUCCAGACAUGCUGCGGGAAGAACUCCACACUGCUGGGCACCACGGCCUCCCACAGCAGCCUGCCACAGCCAGAGACUGCUCGGGUGCACGGCUGUGGCUGCUGGAGCCCGAGCACGUGUGGGAUGGCCCAGAGCUCUCACAGGACAGCUCUUGGCGCUGAGAGUUGUCCUGCUCCAUCAUUUCAUCUGUGUCUGGGAGCUGAGCAGUCCUGGGUGAAGAUGUGGAAGGCUCUGACAGGGAACACAGAGUAGGAGUGGAAAUACUGGAGGCAAACCUUCGGUUUUCAGCGCCUACUGAACAUGUGCCUCAUCAUUCUCUUGCCCAAGUUAGCGCAGAUCUGACUCUUCCGAGGCACAGCGCCUUGCAGGGAGCUUUGGUGGCUGCAAUCUCCUCCUAAUCCAGGCUUGUUUCAGGGAAAACAGGCAAUUUUAUAUCCCUUUGAUAUGGGUCUUAGCUGCUAAUGAUGCUAGGAAGUAAAAAGAAAUGGGCAUAGAAAUACACAACUAUGAAGAAUUAAAAUAGUGAAUUUAAUUCAGCCAAUUCCAACAAAAUUGGUAAUCCCCUGAAAAACAAACCUUGCACAGAAAACACAGAACAGAAAUGGUUCAUCUUGACAGCUGGUGAAAACAACUGGGUGAAAAGGUGAAUGGAAUAUUUCUGACUUCUCUGGAAAACAAAAGGUUUCACACAUCCUGAAAAUGCCCUAUUUUUGACUAAAUGGGUCGGUUUGUGAGGCAGGGAUUGUAAAUGCUCUGCAAGGAAAGCACAGCUCUGAACUGCAGAUGCCAAAUGUCUGCUUUUCAGAGAGCACUGAUGCUUCCCUAAAGGAAAAGCUGGGACCUCUAAAAAUCAUAGAAACAUGGAACGGUUUGGUCUGGAAGGGAAACUCAAAGCUCAUCUCACUCUAAGCCCCCACCAAGAGCAGGGACACAUUCCACCAGACUAGCCCAGAAACCUGAAGAACAACAACAACAAAAUAUUAUAUUUAAGAAUGGUAAGGCUGGCUUGGGCUCCAGGGCCAUGCAGAGGCGAGGAAAGGACGCGGGGCUGUGGCAGGCGUGUGGAGGGAGCUGGCUGGACAGCCUGGCUCAGCUCCUCGCCACUGAAACACUCUUUACAAAGCAAUACCAAAAAAGGUUUGUUUCUAGGUCAGGACCUCAGCACUCAAUUUGAACCAGGGGCUGACAGUCCAAUCUGAACACAGCUGUAAAAUGGAUUCGCGGGAGAAGCUUUGGCAUUCCUUUUGUAAUUAGAAAACAGCCACUGAGGCGUGUGCCUUUAAAGGUGAAAGCUAUUUUUGACAUAAAAAUUAGCACGUAGUUCCUCUGUCAUCCCUCGGCUGCUGUGCUGGGAGCUGUGAGUGAACAAUCCAAAGAUAAGCAAGAAGUAUAAACAUGCUGAAUUAUACAAAUACGUAGAAGGGGAUCAGGUUUAAUUUGGUUUAUUCUGUGACAGUUAGGAGACAAGGAGAUUUAUUCUUACACUUUUUCUCCUAAAAAGCACUGGUUAAAAGGUCCACUUAAGCACUGAAACCCCAAUGGCAUUAAAAAACUUGAAGAGCUUUUAAUAGCUACCUAUUGAAAUUACUGUUAAAUCUAUUUUUGAGAUGGAUAAACUAAGCUACCAAUGAAGCAGGGCAGGAGUUUUUGGAAGGGCCCAGCAGUGAGGAACUGUCAUUCAUUUCUCAACAACUCAGCUCCUGUACAGGGACCUUGAGAUAAAAACUACCAAUGCUUUAACAACCUGAGCGUUCUUUAAAUUCCAAUUUUCUCUCUUUGGUGGGAAUCUAACCCCGACAGCCCUGAAAAUGAACCUGAGGCAGUUUUCAGGAUACAGCUCAGAGUGGCUGUUUCUAAAAUAAAAGUGAGGGAAGAGCAGCAGAACUUGGAGGCUUAUCAGCACCCGGAAUGGCCCGGCUAAUCCUCGGCAGCCCCGGCCCCUUUAUGUAACCUGGGAUUGCUGCAGCUCAGCAGCUUACUGGGGUCUGGGUGCUUUUCUUUAAACCUCUUUCUUGUGGACAAAUGCAAACACAUGAAAUACUUCUUUCUUUUGCCUCUCUAAGGAAAAAAAUUGUUGUAAGAGGGAAAAAAAUGUUUUAUUUGUAUCAAUGGCUAAUAGAAUUAAACUUGUAUGCUGAGACUGAAACGUGUUUCUCUCUGAUCCAUCGUGACUGAACAGAACUUUCCCAGUUUACAAUACUCAGGUGUAACUCUUGAAAGAAAGGUUGAAUCCCAAGUUUCUCUUCACCCUGAACACUCUCUGGAGGUGUUGGGGUGUUCCAAAUAAAGAGAAAACCAGCCCCUUUACACCCUGUACCCCAUUUCUGGCUGGCUGUGCUGCAGUACUUCCAUCCCUGUGGCCACCUCCCCGCGGCUCUCCUUGCCCAGGGGAUGCCUUUCCAUGCCCUCCAUCUGACUGCUCUGACUGUCCACGGCACACAUCCUUCCAAGGCAAAACCAGCUCUCGAGCUCUCGGCCGUGCUAAGCCAUUCACCUCACGCUGAAUGCUUACGGAAACUUCAGAAGGAAAAAAAUAAACCCCCUAUUGAACUCCUUGCAAUCGGAGACCUGAAUGGGCUCGGUGUAAACCCCACUCGAACCAGCGGCAGCAAUAGGCUUCCCUGGAUGCUGGAUUCCAUCCAGCUUAAAAGUUUCCAUGAAAUAAACUAGGCUAAGCGCAUCAGCUGCAUAGGAACUAACUCGGUGUAACAGCAGCAUCUGUUCUUCACGUCCACCAUUUUCUCAGAGCCCCAGCCCGGCGGCGCUGCGAGGUGCCGGCGGAUCCCGGGCGCGGGCACGGAGCAGCAGGAGCAUGCACGUGGUAUAAACUACUGCACCAGGUAGCUUUUGUUUGUCAGAAAAACAGCUUAAUGUAUUUGCAAGGAUGGCAUUACAGAGCGAAGUCAAUGUCCGCACUGAGACAGCAGAGGAGCACACCUCGGACCCAUUAAUACACGGUACAAAGCAAAUGUUUACCCAAGUACAAAUGAAACAGGUCGACAAUUAGCUAAUGCAGCUUUGUGGACAUAAACCAGGUACAGUCGAGCAGAACCAACAUAAAAUAAAAAGGAAACAGCCCUUUUCCUAAGCCACGCUAAGAGCACCGUGGUUAGUGGUUUGGGAAGCCUCUGUCACGGUGAAAAAUUUCCUUGCCGGUGUUUAAUGUGUUUAUUCUACUGCUACACUGCUGGGAUAAAAAUAACAGCUGGCUGUACAAGGGACCCACUGUCAAUACUGCAGUAAUUGACAACAUACAAUUAAGUCUCACACCUGUUUAUUGUAAGUAAUUCAUAGAUAACCACUUCUAGUAUACAUUUUCAUAUUGGCUUUUAAUGCUUUUGUUCUCUUUUUUUUUUUUUUUAAGCUCAGGGAUACCCAAAUUUCACCUAAGGGUCAUCACUGUGGUUACCCAGACCCAGAAGGCUAUACCUACUUUGGGGAACUGGUGCAAGGUGGCCAGGGGUGGCAGAGAUGGCUGGGGAACUGCAGGCCCCAACAUGCAGGACGGUGUGGAGUGGCAGCGGCCGGGGCAGCGGGGCUGGGGACAUGCUGGCGGGCUGGCCGCGCGCGCCGGGCUCACACAGGGCCAAAACAAAGACCUCUACACACCUGGGUCCAAGCCCCUAGAACAGUUUCACGUAAGGAUACAGAUACCUGUCACCUGAGCCAGCAGCCUGGCAAUCACUGCUCGCACGGACACGGCCGGGGAGGAACGGAGGCAGUCCAGUGUGACUGGUCAGUCCUGCUAGCACUCUGUGAAAAUGCACACGCUAAUCUCCAGAGCUCUCAACUUCAUUAAGAUAAAAACAUCUCAACUGUAAUUUCUUUUUUUUUUCCUCUUUUUUUUUUAAAUUUUAUUUAAUGUAGAGGUUGGGUUUAGGGUGGUUUGUUUUUGUUUUUUUUUAAACAAAGUUUUAAAAAUGUGAAUAUGUGACAUGAUAGUCUAAAAAGUAUAUCUGUUUCCCUAGACUUUGCUUUCUACUUUAUGUACAGAUAAACAGGUUAAGAAAAAAAAAAAGCACAUGUAGCUUAAACAUGUGUGACCAUUUAUGAGCAGUUCUGGGCUGGACAGCUCAGCACCCCAGAACUCCCACAAAUUGAUAGAAAUGUGUUAACACAAUAGAAGAAUAACGUAAAAAUGAUGAUGUUUGCAAAUAUUUACAAAGUUGAACAGAUUUGCACAACACUUGAUUAAGAAAUAGGGGAGAAAUUAAAAGACGCUCUCUGCUUGUCCUGGAGGGGCAUCCUACCUAGUUAGUGGUUAGAAUAAAAACUGUAUACAAUUUAAUAUAAGACAAAACUUCUAGUGAACAACUAACACGUCUGUCCCCUGCUGAAACACCAGCAGGCUCUGACUGGGAGGCAGAGGGCAUAAAAAUCACACCCAGGGCCUCCAGAAUCUUCCAGCUUAAAGCAAUUUUCCUUAAAUUUCCAAGCACUCCUUUUGCUCCUAGAUAAGAGUCCCAUGGGGGUCUGACUGUUCAGAGACCAUGUUUACAUACAUUUCAACUCCUCUUCUGUCAGCCAUGGCUGUUUCUCACCAAACAAUAACAGGUUUUUUUAAAAAAAUGUUGACUACAAUGCUCUAUUCCCUUAGGGUAAUAUGUUGGGUAAUAUUUACAUCUCCAAAUAUCAGGUCACAAUCCCUAUUAUAUGUUGAAGUUAGAAUGAUAAGUUAUCAUAUGCUUUGCAUAUCAGAGCUGGUAUCACCUUUCCCAUAGGGAAUGCUGCCUGAAAUUACCAUAUUCCCAAAGGUAAAAUGCAUAUUUUCUCCAAAAAUGCAUUUUUUUUAAAUGACAACAUUGUAAUGCAUUUACUCCUUAAAAAAAAAAAAAAAAAAAAAAAAAACAAGCAAGAAAAAUAAAA